rnacentral:misc_RNA from 1 species
GAGCUCCUCACAGGCCUGCUUCAGAGCCUUACCCUGCCCCUUCUUACCUCUCUGCAGUACCCAAGCUGUACCGGGCUACCAUGCCGGGAGCUGGCGUAUCAACGUGGAGGCAACAGAACCAAUGUUCUUCAUCACGCUCUCUCUCUCCCUCCCAUGGAGAAGAGGGAGAACGAGGGAGUCCAGAACACCCGGACGGCUGAGCGAGUAUCGACACAUUCAGACAUACGAGUACCAGAACCGACACAGUGUACACAAUUAGGAGCACAAGUAAAAGUGAAGCCUUGCGCCGACUUGUAACCCGUUCCCGCUGGGCAUCGAGAGCGCGCAAGAGAGGGAUUUUCUUCCCUCAUCUCCAUGCAUAGCUUGACAACUGACGCUAAUCACCGCCGCUGAGCGUGACUCAGUGUGGGUUCGCACGCUUGGACAGCAGACAAGCUGGAUUAGCGGCAAGGGGUGGGAGGAGGGAGGAUUUGCUUGCAAGUGUAAAAAUCUCUUUUCAUGUGUUGUCACCGGCGCUUAGCGACUCAACCCACUUUACACAAACACACACACACACACACAUCGCUCAGGUGACUCCCCAGGGAGGGAGUUGACAGGCUCAGAGGUCGCGCUAUUCCCCCCUACCAUGAGCAGGUAUGUGCGUGCGCGCUCCCACUGCAUUCUUCAUCUUACGCGAGCCGUCUUUCUACUCGUGUCUCAUUGUUUCCUCUCACCUUCUCAACCUCCAACUGCACUCUCGCACACGAACACACGCACGCGCGCUCCCAUCUAUACACCCCAUCAG